rnacentral:rRNA from 1 species
GUGGGGAAUAUUGGACAAUGGGCGAAAGCCUGAUCCAGCCAUGCCGCGUGUGUGAAGAAGGUCUUCGGAUUGUAAAGCACUUUAAGUUGGGAGGAAGGGCAGUAAGUUAAUACCUUGCUGUUUUGACGUUACCGACAGAAUAAGCACCGGCUAACUUCGUGCCAGCAGCCGCGGUAAUACGAAGGGUGCAAGCGUUAAUCGGAAUUACUGGGCGUAAAGCGCGCGGAGGUGGUUCAGCAAGUUGGAGGUGAAAUCCCCGGGCUCAACCUGGGAACUGCCUCCAAAACUACUGGGCUAGAGUACGGUAGAGGGUAGUGGAAUUUCCUGUGUAGCGGUGAAAUGCGUAGAUAUAGGAAGGAACACCAGUGGCGAAGGCGACUACCUGGACUGAUACUGACACUGAGGUGCGAAAGCGUGGGGAGCAAACAGGAUUAGAAACCCCGGUAGUCC